UUAAGUUCAGCGGGUAUCCCUACCUGAUCCGAGGUCAACCUGAAAAGGAUGAUGGGUUGUCGGCUGGCGCCGGCCGGACCUACAGAGCGGGUGACAAAGCCCCAUACGCUCGAGGACCGGACUCGGUGCCGCCGCUGCCUUUCGGGGCCGUCCCCCGGGAGAGGGGGACGGGGCCCAACACACAAGCCGGGCUUGAGGGC
rnacentral:misc_RNA from 1 species